AGCAGCCGCGGUAAUUCCAGCUCCAAUAGCGUAUAUUAAAGUUGUUGCAGUUAAAAAGCUCGUAGUUGAAUUUCGGGAUCGAAUUGUUGGUCGUGCUUCGGUACGCACUGGCAUUAUCGGUUCCUACCUUCUGAAGAACCGCGAUGUCAUUAAUUUGGUGUCGUGGGGAAUCAGGACUGUUACUUUGAAAAAAUUAGAGUGUUUAAAGCAGGCUUACGCUUGAAUACAUUAGCAUGGAAUAAUGAAAUAGGACGUUUGAUUCUAUUUUGUUGGUUUCUAGGAUCGACGUAAUGAUUAAUAGGGAUAGUUGGGGGCAUUAGUAUUCAAUUGUCAGAGGUGAAAUUCUUGGAUUUAUUGAAGACUAACUACUGCGAAAGCAUUUGCCAAGGAUGUUUUCAUUAAUCAAGAACGAAAGUUAGGGGAUCGAAGACGAUCAGAUACCGUCGUAGUCUUAACCAUAAACUAUGCCGACUAGGGAUCGGAUGAUGUUAAUUUUAUAAUGACUCAUCCGGCGCCUUAA
rnacentral:rRNA from 1 species